rnacentral:rRNA from 1 species
UGGGGAAUAUUGCACAAUGGGCGCAAGCCUGAUGCAGCCAUGCCGCGUGUAUGAAGAAGGCCUUCGGGUUGUAAAGUACUUUCAGCGGGGAGGAAGGGAGUAAAGUUAAUACCUUUGCUCAUUGACGUUACCCGCAGAAGAAGCACCGGCUAACUCCGUGCCAGCAGCCGCGGUAAUACGGAGGGUGCAAGCGUUAAUCGGAAUUACUGGGCGUAAAGCGCACGCAGGCGGUUUGUUAAGUCAGAUGUGAAAUCCCCGGGCUCAACCUGGGAACUGCAUCUGAUACUGGCAAGCUUGAGUCUCGUAGAGGGGGGUAGAAUUCCAGGUGUAGCGGUGAAAUGCGUAGAGGUCUGGGGGAAUACCGGUGGCGAAGGCGGCCCCCUGGACGAAGACUGACGCUCAGGUGCGAAAGCGUGGGGAGCAAACAGG